rnacentral:rRNA from 1 species
AUUGAACGCUGGCGGCAGGCUUAACACAUGCAAGUCGAGCGGGGGAAGGUAGCUUGCUACCUAACCUAGCGGCGGACGGGUGAGUAAUGCUUAGGAAUCUGCCUAUUAGUGGGGGACAACAUUUCGAAAGGGAUGCUAAUACCGCAUACGCCCUAAGGGGGAAAGCAGGGGAUCUUCGGACCGUGCGCUAAUAGAUGAGCCUAAGUCGGAUUAGCUAGUUGGUGGGGUAAAGGCCUACCAAGGCGACGAUCUGUAGCGGGUCUGAGAGGAUGAUCCGCCACACUGGGACUGAGACACGGCCCAGACUCCUACGGGAGGCAGCAGUGGGGAAUAUUGGACAAUGGGGGGAACCCUGAUCCAGCCAUGCCGCGUGUGUGAAGAAGGCCUUUUGGUUGUAAAGCACUUUAAGCGAGGAGGAGGCUACCGAGAUUAAUACUCUUGGAUAGUGGACGUUACUCGCAGAAUAAGCACCGGCUAACUCUGUGCCAGCAGCCGCCGUAAAAC